rnacentral:rRNA from 1 species
AGUGGACGCUGGCGGUAGGCCUAACACAUGCAAGUCGAACGGCAGCACAGUAAGAGCUUGCUCUUACGGGUGGCGAGUGGCGGACGGGUGAGGAAUACAUCGGAAUCUACUUUUUCGUGGGGGAUAACGUAGGGAAACUUACGCUAAUACCGCAUACGACCUACGGGUGAAAGCAGGGGAUCUUCGGACCUUGCGCGAUUGAAUGAGCCGAUGUCGGAUUAGCUAGUUGGCGGGGUAAAGGCCCACCAAGGCGACGAUCCGUAGCUGGUCUGAGAGGAUGAUCAGCCACACUGGAACUGAGACACGGUCCAGACUCCUACGGGAGGCAGCAGUGGGGAAUAUUGGACAAUGGGCGCAAGCCUGAUCCAGCCAUACCGCGUGGGUGAAGAAGGCCUUCGGGUCGUAAAGCCCUUUUGUUGGGAAAGAAAAGCAGCAGGUUAAUACCCCGCUGUUCUGACGGUACCCAAAGAAUAAGCACCGGCUAACUUCGUG